ensembl:lncRNA
AAACACUACAACUAAACUUGAUGCCGUGCGACUUGUUUUCUUGCAUCCUCUUCAGUAAAUUUUAAUCCACUAAACAAACAUCGCAGUGUACACGAGACCUCUGGUGCGCGCAUAAAUCGCGGACGCGCAGCAGCCUGUGCAGGACGCUGCUGGAGCGCGCUUUAAUAGACAGUUUGACGUGCGGACUCCUCCAAGCUGAGAGUGCGAGCUCUUCUGCCACUUAAUCUGCUUUAACUGCUCCACAAAAAAAACACAGAUUCUAAAGGUUCACCAUGGGAAACAGGUUCAGCAGAAGGAGAGAUGCCCCAGCGACCACUGAAGCUGUGGCCGCCGAACAGAAGGCUGCAGAGGAGCCAGCAUCUGCUCAGCCAGCAGAAGAAUCUGCAAUAACACAGACUCAGGAGGCCAUAGAGAACCUGGAUGUGGUGGUGGGGGAGCAGGUGACACUGAAGGCACGUUUACCCACUGAAGAAUGUGCAUCAGAGUGUAAGGAGGUAGAAGCUCCUGCUGCACCAGUGUGUGAUCCAGAACCAGAGCCUGCCGUAAAGGAAACCCCAGCUCCAGUCCAGCCUGAACCUCUGGUCACAGAUAGUGAACCAACACCUCCAGAGCCAGAGCCCGUUGUUGAAGCUCCACCUGCCCCAGAACCAGUCCCAGAACCAGCCCCAGAGCCAGUCCCAGAGCCAGAAUCUGCCCCAGUUCCAGAACCUGACCCAGUUCCAGAGCCUGAACCAGUUCCAGAGCCUGAACCAGUUGCAGAGGUAGACCCGGUUCCAGAGGGAGACCCGGUUCCAGAGGCAGUCAUCGAGGCGGAACCUGAGACCAUCCCAGAACCAGAACCAACCCCAGCUGAGCCCAUGGAGCAGCAGACAGACCUGCUCUCCCAAGAGUCUCUCCCAGAGCCAGGGCUUCCUUCACGCCCUCUGAUCGACUUUGCUGUCCCUGAUGUCACCCCCAUCCCCGUCAGUCCAGACGAGCCGGCGGACGUCCCAGCAGGUGAGCAAAGCCAAGACAGCGCCGAGGCUGCCGAGAAUUCCACACUGGAGCCAGAGCAGCCUGCAGAAACGUCAGAAGCUCUGGAAAAGCUGGUGGAGGUGGAGGCGCCAGAGUGUUUGGAGAAGCUUGGGAGUGACGUCAACGAGGAAAGCGUUUGUGAAAUCCUAAAGAACUUAGAGCUGAAAGGAAAUGACCUUGUCAAUGACCUCAUUCCAAGUGAUGUCAAGAUCCCCGACGACACUCCCAUCAUAGACGUGCCUGUAUUUCUUGGCCAAGCCAACGUUGGUGCGUCCAGGUUUGAAGGGAUAAGACCACAAGAUGGAGUUCCAGGAGAAGCC